UACGGAGGGUGCGAGCGUUGUCCGGAUUUAUUGGGUUUAAAGGGUGCGUAGGCGGCCCGUUAAGUCCGGGGUGAAAGCCCGCUGCUCAACAGCGGAUCUGCCCUGGAUACUGACGGGCUUGAGUACAGACGAGGUUGGCGGAAUGGACAGAGUAGCGGUGAAAUGCAUAGAUACUGUCCAGAACCCCGAUUGCGAAGGCAGCUGACUAGGCUGUUACUGACGCUGAGGCACGACAGCGUGGGGAGCGAACAGG
rnacentral:rRNA from 1 species